AUGCAAUGCAAAUGGAGGUUGCAAUGCAAAAGGGGGUUGCAAUGCAAUGCAAAAGGGUUUUGCAAUGCAAUGCAAUGCAAUUGGGUCUUGCAAUGCAAAGGCCUGUUGCAAUGCAAAGGGGUCUUGCAAUGCAAAAGUUUAUGGGGUUGCAAUGCAAUGGAGGAUUACAAUGCAAUGCAAAAGGGGGGCAGGUUGCAAUGCAAAAGGGUCUUGCAAUGCAAUGCAAUUGGAUUUUGCAAUGCAAUGCAAUUGGGUCUUGCAAUGCAAAAGGGUUUGGGGUUGCAAAGCAAUGGAGGAUUGCAAUGCAAUGAAGGAUUGCAAUGCAAUGCAAUUGGGUCUUGCAAUGCAAUUGGGUCUUGCAAUGCAAAAGUGCAUGGGGUUGCAAUGCAAAAGGGUUUGGGGUUGCAAUGCAAAAGGGUCUUGCAAUGCAAUGCAAUUGGGUCUUGCAAUGCAACAGGGUCUUGCAAUGCAAUGCAAAAGCGGGGCAGGUUGCAAUGCAAAAGGGGGUUGCAAUGCAAAAGUGGGUUGCAAUGCAAUGCAAUGCAAAAGGGUUUGGGGUUGCAAUGCAAUUGGGUCUUGCAAUGCAAAGGGGUCUUGCAAUGCAACAAAGGAUUGCAAUGCAAUUGGGGUUUGCAAUGCAAAAGUGCAUGGGGUUGCAAUGCAAAUUCGGGUUGCAAUGCAAAAGGGUUUGGGGUUGCAAUACAAUGCAAAAGUCUUUGGGGUUGCAAUGCAAUUGGGUCUUGCAAUGCAAUAGGGGACGGGGUUGCAAUGCAAAUUCGGGUUGCAAUGCAAAAGGGGAGGGGAUUGCAAUGCAAUGCAAUGGGGUCUUGCAAUGCAAAAGGGUUUGGUGUUGCAAUGCAAAGAUGGCUUGCAAUGCAAUGCAAUUGGGUCUUGCAAUGCAAUGCAAAAGUGCAUGGGGUUGCAAUGCCAUUGGGUCUUGCAAUGCAAAAGGGGAGGGGGUUGCAAUGCAAAGGUGGGUUGCAAUGCAAUGCAAUGGGGUCUUGCAAUGCAAUACAACAAAGGAUUGAAAUGCAAUGCAGUGCAAUUGGGGGUUGCAAUGCAAAAGUGGAUGGGGUUGCAAUGCAAAAGGGUUUGGGCGUUGAAUGCAAGGGGUCUUGCAAUACAAUGCAAAAGGGCGUCUUGCAAUGCACAUGGGUCUAUGCAAUGCCAAUGCAAAUGCAAUUGGGUUUUGCAAUGCAAUUGGAGCUUGCAAUGCAAAGGCCUGUUGCAAUGCAACAAAGGAUUGCAAUGCAACAAAGGAUUGCAAUGCAAUGCAAAAGGGUUUGGUUGCCCAAUUGGUCUUGCCAAUCAAUGGGUGUGCAAUGCAAAGGGGUCUUGCAAUGCAAUUGA
rnacentral:lncRNA from 1 species